rnacentral:lncRNA from 1 species
GUCCACUUGGAUGUCCUGUGCCGCUGGCCUGUCCCAGUGGGGCCACCUUCCUUCCUGAUGGCUUCAGAGAAACCAUAAAGAAUGGGACUGUAGGUGGUAUUCCUGAGUACUUCCCUCCCAGGGAGUCCCAGCUUGCCGUCCCCACCUCCAUCUGCCUCGCCCAUUGGGUCCUCCUCUACCCUGCAGCCCCUCCYGCCCUCAAAGAGCAGCCAUGCGGAGCUCUGCCUCCCUCCAAGGGUGGCUGCUGGGAGGGUCCUGGCAACAUCGCCCUCCACCUGGACACCCCACUGAGGAGAACAGAAGACACAAGCUGCUGCUAGCAGAGGACUCUGAUUCUUCCUAUAAAAGAGGAGCCUUGAGAAUGUGCCCAAUCUACACACAUCCUCCAGGAUGCCCAGCAACAAUCUGGGACCAGAGAUCCCAAAGAAAAGAGGAAGAACAUCAAGAAUGGAGGUUCUGGCAGCUGUCAAACCUCAGAUGCAGGAAAGAUCUGGAGUGGUCAAAGAUGUUCUGA